CUAACCUACCCUGAAGCGGGGAAUAACCUCGGGAAACCGGGGCUAAUACCGCAUACGUUCUCGAGGGGAAGCUCCUUGAGAGGAAACGAGCAAUCGGCUUUAGGAGGGGGUCGCGCCCGAUUACGGUAGUUGGCGGGGUAACGGCCCACCAAGCCUUUGAUCGGUAGCCGGCCUGAGAGGGCGCACGGCCACACUGGAACUGAAACACGGUCCAGACUCCUACGGGAGGCAGCAGUGGGGAAUUUUGCGCAAUGGGGGAAACCCUGACGCAGCAACGCCGCGUGGAGGAUGAAGUCCCUUGGGACGUAAACUCCUUUCGACCGGGACGAUAAUGACGGUACCGGUGGAAGAAGCCCCGGCUAACUCCGUGCCAGCAGCCGCGGUAAUACGGGGGGGGCAAGCGUUGUUCGGAAUUAUUGGGCGUAAAGGGCGCGUAGGCGGUGCGUGUAAGUCCUCUGUGAAAACCCAGGG
rnacentral:rRNA from 1 species